rnacentral:tRNA from 1 species
UGUAAAGUAAGCUAAAUAAGCUAUCAGGCUCAUGCCCUGCCCAUGUCGGUGAGACCCCCUCCUUUACUA